rnacentral:rRNA from 1 species
UUGGCUGGGGCGGCACAUCUGUUAAACCAUAACGCAGGUGUCCUAAGGGGGGCUCAUGGAGAACAGAAAUCUCCAGUAGAACAAAAGGGUAAAAGUCCCCUUGAUUUUGAUUUUCAGUGUGAAUACAAACCAUGAAAGUGUGGCCUAUCGAUCCUUUAG